GACGAACGCUGGCGGCGUGCUUAACACAUGCAAGUCGAACGGUAAGGCCUUCGGGUACACGAGUGGCGAACGGGUGAGUAACACGUGGGUGAUCUGCCCUGCACUUUGGGAUAAGCCUGGGAAACUGGGUCUAAUACCGGAUAGGACUACGCACUGCAUGGUGGGUGGUGGAAAGCUUUUGCGGUGUGGGAUGGGCCCGCGGCCUAUCAGCUUGUUGGUGGGGUGAUGGCCUACCAAGGCGACGACGGGUAGCCGGCCUGAGAGGGUGUCCGGCCACACUGGGACUGAGAUACGGCCCAGACUCCUACGGGAGGCAGCAGUGGGGAAUAUUGCACAAUGGGCGCAAGCCUGAUGCAGCGACGCCGCGUGGGGGAUGACGGCCUUCGGGUUGUAAACCUCUUUCAGCACAGACGAAGCGCGAGUGACGGUAUGUGCAGAAGAAGGACCGGCCAACUACGUGCCAGCCGCCGCAGUAA
rnacentral:rRNA from 1 species